UGUACAUGUAAUCUCUUCUGGUAAGACACAUUAUGGCAAAGAUGUGGUGAAUUCAUGGCCAUAUUGAGGAAAAUGCAUGUUUAGUUACUUAAAUCAAGUCUAUUGAGCAGUUUUUUUUAAUAUUGAGAGCUUAUCAAAAUUCUUGGCAUUUGAAUUCAACAUAUUGAUGUGAAAAAAAAUGUGAAAUCCAUAUUCUAAUUCUAGUAAACUUGUCUCUAUUCAGUAUUUAUGUCAUUAAAAAAACACUUCUCAAAGAGUGUAGUAACUAGUAAAAAAAUUAAAAGAUCCUGAAAUCAGACAGAUCUGAAAACAUCUGUAGAUACAUUAACUGUGUGACUUUGAACAAAUUACUGAAUGUGUGCAUGUAGGCUUUGUUUUACUUUUUAGUAAAAUGUAUUUUUUAAAUCAUCUAUCUCAUAGGGAUUUUCUGAGCAUUAAGUGAGAUAGGUUCAUAAGACCUGGCACAUAGUAUACUACCAAUAAGUAGGAUUACAGCUUAUUCAAAUUAAGUUUAUUAAAUGUCUUAAGAUCCAAAGUAAGUCUCAUUAGGUCUUACAUACAACCUCUACUUCUCCACUCACAAAUAUUUAUUUAAAUACAUACCAAGACAGUCAUCCAACAUCUAUUCUCUUGACAUGAAAUAUACAUAUUUUCCAUGAAAAAAAUUGAGAUUCACAGAACUCCAGAGUUAACAUAAACUACUAGUGCUUCAUCUUGCAGAGUCAAAAAACUGAAGUCCCCCAAAUAGAUAAUCUUUCCCGCAGUCACAUGAACCAGUUCUCCUAAAUUCCAACUUAUGGUUCUUUCUGAGACAGUGUGAGCAUAAAAUAAACAUCUUCUUUCUUAUCUUUUAUAGUUUAUGUUUCCUGUUUUCAAAAGUAAUGGUUGUUAGUCUGAUUCAAAUAAAUGCUACCAGGAUCAUGUUUGUUAAAAAAAAAUCUUUAAUGAAUAUUGCUGAUAGUGAAAUUAUACUGCUAUUUUUAAAUAAUGUACUAUCAAAAACUAAUCACACACAGGUUAAUGCAAUGGUGCUACUAUCCAUCACUUAGGGCAGAAUUGAUAGAAACUAUUGGCUUCCCUGUGCUUCUAUGUAGCUUUGGGCUGCUCUGCAUCCUUCUUUCUGUGGCUGCCCAAGUGCUCUUGGUAAAAAGAUAAAAUUCUCAACCUCAUAUUACAAAGCCAUGAAAGAUGGGUUCCUUGCGUCUUCCUCUCUCUGCUAUCUCUGACUUGCUAUCUAGCCCUCUUUCUAUGACAUUCCUCAUAGAAAUAGAAAAAGCAAUCAUGAAAUUCAUCUGGAAAAAUAAGAGACCCAGAAUAGCUAAAGCAAUCCUUAGAGAAAGAGUGAAGCAGGUGGCAUCACUAUAUCAGACCUUAAACUAUACUACAGAGCAAUAGUAACAAAAACAGCAUAGUAUUGGCACCAAAACAGACUGGUAGACCAAUGGUACAGAUUAGAGGACAUAGAGGCUAACCCACAAAAUUACAAUUAUCUUAUAUUAGACAAAGGUGCCAAAAACAUGCAUUGAAGAAAAGAUGGCCUCUUCAACAAAUGUUGCUGAGAAAACUGGAAAUCCAUAUGCAACAAAAUGAAAUUAAAUGCCUGUCUCUCACCAUGCACAAACUCAACUCAAAAUGGAUCAAGGACCUAGGAAUAAAACCAGAGACCCUGUGUCUAAUAGAAGAAAAAGUAGGCUCUAAUCUUCAUCACAUGGGAUUAGGCCCAACUUCCUUAAUAAGACUCCUUUGGCACAAGAAAUAAAAUCAAGAAUCAAUAAAUGGGAUGGACCCAAACUAAAAAGUUUCUUCUCAGCAAAAGAAACAAUCUGUAAGUUGAAUAGAGAGCCUACAUCUUGGGAGCAAAUCUUUACACCUCACACAUCAGAUAAAGCACUCUAAUGUAUAUAAAGAACUCAAAAAGUUAAACACCAAAAAACAAAUAACCUAAUCAAUAAAUGGGCCAAGGACCUGAACAGACACUUCUCAGAAGAUGAUAUGCAAUCAAUCAACAAAUAUAUGAAAAAUUUUUCAUCACUGCUAGCAAUUAGAGAAACGCAAAUCAAAACCACUCUAAGACUUCAUCUCACUCCAGUCAGAAUGGCAGCUAUUAUGAAGACAAACAACAAUAACUGUUGGCAAGGAUGUGGUCGAAAAGGCACACUCAUACACUGCUGGUGGGACUGCAAAAUGGUGCAGCCAAUGUGGAAAGCUGUAUGGAGAUUUCUUGGAAAAUUGGGAAUGGAAUCAUCAUUUGACCCAGUUAUCCCUCUCCUUGGUCUAUACACAAAGGACUUAAAAACAGCAUACUACAGGGACACAGCCACAUCAAUGUUUAUAGCAGCACAAUUCACAAUAGUUAAACUCUGGAACCAACCUAGAUGCCCUUCAGCAGAUGAAUGGAUUAAAAAUGUGGCAUGUAUAUACAAUGGAAUAUUACUCAGCAAUAAAAGAGAAUAAAAUCAUGGCAUUUGCAGGUAAAUGGAUGGAGUUAGAGAAGAUAAUGCUAAGCAAAGUUAGCCAAUCCCAAAAAACCAAAUGUUGAAUGUUUUCUUUGAUAUAAGGAGGCUGAUUCAUAGUGGAGUAGGGAGAGGGAGCAUGGGAGGAAUAGACGAACUCUAGUUAGGGCAGAGGAGUUGGAAGGGAAGAGAGGGGCCAUGGGCUUAGAAAUGAUAGUGGAAUGUGAUAAUCAUUAUUACCCAACAUACAUGUAUGAAGACACGAAUUGGUGUGAAUGUACUUUGUAUACAACCAGAGAUAUGAACAAUUGUGCUCUAUGUGUGUAAUAAAAAUUGUAAUGCAUUCCGCUGUCAUAUAUAAAUUUUAAAAAAGAGGGAGAAUGAAAAAAAAAAUGUCAGUUGCAGUUUGAAUUUGUGAUUCUAUGAUGACUGUCUCUACCACUACACUGAAAGCAAAUGAUAAUGACAAUGUUUUUGUUCACCAUCGAGUCUCAGGACCUCUGUGCUCUUUGUCUGCUACAGGAAAGAAACUCAACAAAUGUGUG
rnacentral:lncRNA from 1 species